UCUGGAUAGGACCAGAAAUUUUCUUUCUUCUUUCCCCUCCCUCUUUUAUUGAAGGUGAGAGAUACUGAAUUGUCAACUGUGUUUCAUGAUGGAGUGCCUUCCAUGAAGGACCUCAGUGCACCUUGCAAAUGUCAUGAGUCAUCAGAGCCCUUAUAAUGGAGGGAAGUAUCCGUGGUCACAAUUUUAUGGUUAAAGCAGCACAGGGAAGUAGAGAUCAGAAACAGAAAUGGACUUGUCACAAGAAAACUUACGUUUACACACCAUAAAGAACUUCUUGAUUAAACUCUAGAACUUACGCGGGAGGACAAUUGUGGGUCUUUGCUUCAGGAAAUCUUUAAGAAUUGAAAAGAUGGGGAUGCUGAAACUCCAAGAAGCAGAGUGACUUUUAGAAAGUACUAGAUCCAGAUUCAAAGUGAGAUCAGUUUGAUUCUUCCGAAGAUCUUGACAAACACUAGAGACUCAUCAACUGGAGUGAAUUCCCUCAGUGAAAUCGCUCUCCUCUGCCAAGAAUCAAAGGUCAUCCCAGUGGAGUGCCGUCUUCGUGUUCAGCCGCUACGGAGUGUCUGGAACAGAGUGAGAACAAAAAUUAUCCUCGUUCCGUGCCCCCUGACUCUUUCGGGAAGAAUCCCAACCAAGCUGCCACUGGGAAUUCAGAGAACACAUUGGAAGACUGGGGAAGGGCCAGCCUAAACAGGGGAGAAUGGUGAUGUAGAGACAAUAAGAUAAAGAAAAUAAAUGACUCAAAGAGGAGUUUUAAGCCAAUAUUUACACCCAUAUUGCCGUAUUUACAGCUUAAACACCAUGCC